rnacentral:tRNA from 1 species
GCCUGAAUAGCUCAAUUGGUAGAGCGUCUGUUUUGUAAUCAGAAGGUCGUGGGUUCGAUCCCUACUUCAGGCUCCA